rnacentral:rRNA from 1 species
UACGUAGGGGGCAAGCGUUGUCCGGAAUCAUUGGGCGUAAAGGGCGCGUAGGCGGAUAUUUAAGUCUGGUGUGAAAACUCAGAGCUCAACUCUGAGACUGCAUCGGAAACUGGGUAUCUUGAGGACAGGAGAGGAAAGUGGAAUUCCACGUGUAGCGGUGAAAUGCGUAGAUAUGUGGAGGAACACCAGUGGCGAAGGCGACUUUCUGGACUGUAACUGACGCUGAGGCGCGAAAGCGUGGGGAGCAAAC